UCAGACGAUGCGCCAUGCAUAUCAAUAAGCGGAGGAAAAGAAACUAACAAGGAUUCCCCUAGUAACGGCGAGUGAAGCGGGAAGAGCUCAAAUUUGAAAUCUUAAAGGGUUUCCCUUUACGAAUUGUAGUUUAAAGAAGUGUUUUCUGUUGAGGUUUUGGUAAAAGUUCUUUGGAGUAGGACAUCAUAGAGGGUGAGAAUCCCGUAUUUGACCUUUACUUUCAACUUUGUGAUACACUUUCAAAGAGUCGGAUUGUUUGGGAAUGCAGUCCAAAAUGGGUGGUAAAUUUCAUCUAAAGCUAAAUAUUGGCGAGAGACCGAUAGCGAACAAGUACCGUGAGGGAAAGAUGAAAAGAACUUUGAAAAGAGAGUUAAACAGUACGUGAAAUUGUCAAGAGGGAAGCGUUUGACACCAGUGUUGUUUUUCUGAAAAUCAAUUAAAGAACUGUUUAUGCUAAGUUGUUUAGACUUUAUCAGCUAUCUGUUUAGUUUUAGGCUUUUCUUUAAUGCACUUUUCAGUUAACAAGUCAACAUCAAUUUCUUUUGCUGUAAAAAAGCUUGAGGAAGGUGGCUUGAGAUUCGUCUUAAGUGUUUAUAGCCUCUUGCCUAUGCAGUCGGAGAGAUUGAGGUCUGCAGCGUAGAUCCUUCGGGGCUAAAUGCAUUUGUGCUAAGUUAUAGCAUUUUAUAGACAACUUGUUGACUAUGAUUUGUCUUGUAGCUUACUCGCUUAUGUUAUUUUACCUACGCUUAGGAUGUUGACACACGCGCGUGCUCG
rnacentral:rRNA from 1 species